ACACCAUUAGCUCAGUGGAUAGAGCAUCCGCCUUCUAAGCGGAUGGUCACAGGUUCGAAUCCUGUAUGGCGUGCCA
rnacentral:tRNA from 1 species